AGCUCCUGAUGUUAGCGGCGGACGGGUGAGUAACACGUGGGUAACCUGCCUGUAAGACUGGGAUAACUCCGGGAAACCGGGGCUAAUACCGGAUGCUUGAUUGAACCGCAUGGUUCAAUUAUAAAAGGUGGCUUUUAGCUACCACUUACAGAUGGACCCGCGGCGCAUUAGCUAGUUGGUGAGGUAACGGCUCACCAAGGCAACGAUGCGUAGCCGACCUGAGAGGGUGAUCGGCCACACUGGGACUGAGACACGGCCCAGACUCCUACGGGAGGCAGCAGUAGGGAAUCUUCCGCAAUGGACGAAAGUCUGACGGAGCAACGCCGCGUGAGUGAUGAAGGUUUUCGGAUCGUAAAACUCUGUUGUUAGGGAAGAACAAGUACCGUUCGAAUAGGGCGGUACCUUGACGGUACCUAACCAGAAAGCCACGGCUAACUACGUGCCAGCAGCCGCGGUAAUACGUAGGUGGCAAGCGUUGUCCGGAAUUAUUGGGCGUAAAGCGCGCGCAGGCGGUUUCUUAAGUCUGAUGUGAAAGCCCCCGGCUCAACCGGGGAGGGUCAUUGGAAACUGGGGAACUUGAGUGCAGAAGAGGAGAGUGGAAUUCCACGUGUAGCGGUGAAAUGCGUANAGAUGUGGAGGAACACCAGNGGCGAAGGNGACUCUCUGGUCUGUAACUGACGCUGAGGCGCGAAAGCGUGGGGAGCGAACAGGAUUANAUACCCUGG
rnacentral:rRNA from 1 species